AACGAACGCUGGCGGCAUGCCUAACACAUGCAAGUCGAACGAGACCUUCGGGUCUAGUGGCGCACGGGUGCGUAACGCGUGGGAACCUGCCCUUAGGUUCGGAAUAACUCCCCGAAAGGGGUGCUAAUACCGGGUAAUGUCUUCGGACCAAAGAUUUAUCGCCUUUGGAUGGGCCCGCGUUGGAUUAGCUAGUUGGUAGGGUAAAAGCCUACCAAGGCGACGAUCCAUAGCUGGUCUGAGAGGAUGAUCAGCCACACUGGGACUGAGACACGGCCCAGACUCCUACGGGAGGCAGCAGUGGGGAAUAUUGGACAAUGGGCGAAAGCCUGAUCCAGCAAUGCCGCGUGAGUGAUGAAGGCCUUAGGGUUGUAAAGCUCUUUUACCCGGGAUGAUAAUGACAGUACCGGGAGAAUAAGCGCCGGCUAACUCCGUG
rnacentral:rRNA from 1 species